rnacentral:lncRNA from 1 species
GCCUCAGGGGCCCUUUAGAAAUAUAAUAAUAAUAUAAAUUUAUUCUCUCUCUCUCUCUCUCUCGAAAUAAUCUCUCUCAAAAAAUGGCUACAUCGUCUAAAAAAUCAAGCGGACCGGUGUUACCAAUAGCGUCUGCGUUCCGGCGAUCGAUCUCUCCGUCUGGUCGGUUCUGCAAUUCGGCGAUGGGGAUUUCAGACGUAUCGUCGUUCGCCUCAUCAUCCUCGUCGUCGUUUACGUAUACUUCGAAUUCAUCGAGUGGUUUCUUCCAGAAUCACAGGUCAUCAUCUCCGACGCGCGUGAACCUUCACGCUAUGUCUUCUUCAUCUCCGACGCCGUCGGUAAGGUUCUCCAUCAACAGAUCUGACUCGACGCGACGUUCCAUGGCGGUAUCGCCACAAAAUCAGGUGGUACGAAAGCGCGAUGGUAACAGUAUGUCGCUGCAGAAGAGGACUUGCUUGUGCUCGCCUACUACCCAUCCCGGAUCGUUCAGGUGCGCUUUGCAUAAGAAUAAUUUUGGUAGCAAUAGUGGGAAUAAUCAUUCUAUAUCAUACUCGCCCAAUCGGUUGAACGCUCGGAGAUCGGCGAUGACGAAUUCUCUUGUGCGGAUCGGAACGGUUGAAGGCGAUUUGGUUAAGCGAGCUUUGGCGGCUCUGAUUCGGCCGUCGUCUCAUCAGCAGCGCCGCCGAGUCGAUUUCCAGCCUCGUCCUAGCCGUUUGUCUAUCAUGUCUAAAGCCGAGGAUCUGUGAGAAGUCUAGUUCUUUGGGUUACAGGUUGGUUCUAUUGAUACGGUUUAGAGAAGAAGUUUACUCUUCAGUGAUUUCCAGCGAAAGGGCCUUGGCCAGAUCUCGGUGGUUAUCGUGCCAAAUUUCCGGCGGGUUUUUGUACUCCGGGCAAUCGGAAACCUUAGCAAUUUUGGAAACAGGAGGAUCUGAAAUUGACUCAGUUGUGUACAUAUGAUUUGCGAAAUGAACGACACAUUUGGACAUUUAUCACAUCCAUACUGCACAAGAAUCUUAACUUAAAAGGGACAGUAUGUUAAGCAAUUUCAUUUAAUUGAACCCUGAAAAAUCUUAUUUCAAAUUAAAAACAAUAUUUAUUCAGAGUUCGUGUGUUCUUUGAGACUUCGAAUUUCGUAUUGGUUUGUUAAGUUCGUUGAAAUCAAUUUAAUCUCGUUCCCCGUGUGUGCUUGCAGCGUUGUGUGUUCCGUCCAGUUAGGCGUUGUGAUUGACGUAUAAUCCAUUCUCCCGUUCGCCGUCACGUUUCCGUUCGUCGUGUAUUCGUCUCCUGUUAAGGUAUUUCGUUAUUUCCUAUUUGUCAUUAUUUUCGUUUAUAAACAUAAUUUAUAUAUUUUGUUUGUUUUAACUGUUAUAUGUU